UCGCGCUCUCUCUCGCGCUCGCUCGCUCGCUCCAGUAUGUAAAUGUGUAAUAGAAGCCAAAUAUGGAGCAGUUGGCUGCCGCCGCCGCAGCUCAAGGAUCCGACUUCAUGGGGGGGGGGGGGGGGAGGCACCCUCUGGCAGGCGGCCCGGCGAGCCGCACAGAGCACGGCGAGCGCACGGCGCGGCUGCCGGCCCGCGCCCUUAACCCUUCUAUGCACCCGGGCUGGGGCAGCGCUCGCUCCAGGGGAGGCCGGGUGUCUCUCCGCAACUGCGACUCCAGAUCCCGGACACCGACCGGAGGGAACUGUGCCUUCCAGGUUUGAGAAAGGGGCGGGGAAGUUGGGGCGAUGAGGUCAUUGGAGUGGUGACCGAUCGGUGCUCGCGCGCCUCCCCGGCUCCCUGCAACCUAGUUGGAGGGGGACAGGGUGAGUGCAGGGUGCAACUCAGGCAACCUGGGAGACUCAGAGCAACGGGUGUCAGGCUUUGACUCCCACCUGGUAAAAUACCCAAGGGGGCGGGGAAGUCGGCUGAUUCUAAUUACGAAGCACCCAGGGUGCCCCUGGUGAGCAUCUAAGAGGACUCUUUGUAUCCCCGCGGUUAACUAGCCAGCCCGCCAGUCCUGAGCCACCCGAUGCUAGGCCGGUGCCUUCUGCCUUGGCUUGCAACUCCGGAAAGUUCUCAGGCUUCCCCAGCUUGCACCGGCACCCUCACCUUUCCUGCCUGGACAAGCUGGCGACCUCCUGGGCCUCCUUUCAAAUUCUGCUGGUCUAGAAAUCUGCUAUGAGCAUCGAACGUCUCAGCUCUAGCCCUGGUAACCGAACUGCUGCUCACUCCUCACAGCUAACUGUGGACCAUUCAUCUCAUCUCAAGUGAGGUAACCCGUGCACUGAGCAGUGGAUGGUGGUUCUCGGGAAUCCAAGGCGAAAGAACUUCCCACCUUGGCCCGGUGGCUAAACGCAGACGCGGAGUCCCCACCCGCCCCCUCCGGCUACACCUCAGCCGGGUGUGAGCUCCGUGGGAAGGAAUCUUCUCCGGAGGAGUGCACCUUGCCAACAGGUGUGGCAUCCGAAGGAAGAGCCCGCACCUCCCCAGGAGGGUCGCUCGGUGUGGCGAUCUCUUUGCUGCAGAUAAUUCUUGAAGACCAGUAGGUGUCAGGCCAGCAUCUGACCUCUUUCAGGUGCUUAAAACUAAGAGUCUGGAAACUUGAUCCCUUGGUCUCGCUGGAAGCCACUACUAUUGACUGUAGCUGGAUUUGAGAGACCUUUUGGCUCAGUUUACGUAUGACCUAACAGUUAGUCACUAUCUGAAGCAGCGUACAGAGUCACCGAGAGAAACGUGUGAGCUUUUAAACUACUGUAUUGUGGAGCCCGCACUUCAGAAGUUAAAAAAGAAAUGCCGUGUGUGUGUGUGUGUGUGUGUGUGUGUGUGUGUGUGUGUGUGUGUGUGUGUGUAGGAUACAAAUCUAUUCUCAGGUUUUGAAACACCGUGCACACAUCCACGGUUGUUUAAAUAGAACUACAACUGUUCUCUUCCCCCUCCCCGCCCCCACCGCCCCUCUCCCCCGUAACUGUGUUGUUCACUUAAAGAUCCAUGAUUGUUAGACUUCAUAUGCUAAAGUGACAUUACUGGUCUCCUUACAGCCUCUAGUGGACGGUUAAAGUGAGUUUCCUGUGGAGGCUCUGUCUAGUUUUGUUUUCCCUUCUGCACUUUCUCCAGGUGAAGGUUAAUAGUUCAGAGCUUAACUGACUGCUAUCUUUCACUCCCUCUUGGUAAAGCUGUCUUUGAAACUGAACAGAAGCUUGUUGGCUGCGUGUGGAAGAGAGGCGUCUGCUUUGUGCUACAGGGUUUGGUCCAGAUGCUCAUGGCUGGCCCACCAGUACCUCUCAGAAACGCACCCUGAAAUGCCAUGACACUGAGAGCCACAGACUACACUGGUUGCGAUGGCUGAGAGGACUCAGACUGUAGCCUAAACUGACUUUGAGCUCACAGUGAUUCUCAUGCCUUCAUCUCCUGCUGAGAUUCCAAGGUGUGGCCCUCCAGGACACUGAGUCGGG
ensembl:lncRNA